UACAGAGGGUGCAAGCGUUAAUCGGAAUUACUGGGCGUAAAGAGCUCGUAGGUGGUUUGUCGCGUUGUUCGUGAAAACUCACAGCUUAACUGUGGGCGUGCGGGCGAUACGGGCAGACUAGAGUACUGCAGGGGAGACUGGAAUUCCUGGUGUAGCGGUGGAAUGCGCAGAUAUCAGGAGGAACACCGGUGGCGAAGGCGGGUCUCUGGGCAGUAACUGACGCUGAGGAGCGAAAGCGUGGGGAGCGAACAGGAUUAGAUACCCUGGUAGU
rnacentral:rRNA from 1 species